rnacentral:lncRNA from 10 species
GGAAGGGCCCAGGGUGCAGGUGACUCCGGCAAUGGCGCGGGGGCGGAGGAUGCGGGCGGCCGGGCGUGGGCACGACUCGCCCAGGCUGCGCUUCCCGACCCGGCCCCGGAGCGAUGGGUCCGCUAGGGCUCGGCGCCGUGAUUUGGCGGGGACCGGGGCAAAGCACCCAGUACUAACGACUCAGCGGGUCCCACUCGCCAAGAGUCGAUUUUCGUCCUCACCACAGACUUGGGAGGGAGGUCUUAUUUUGCUAAUGAGAAAACGGAGGCUCAGAGGGGUGAGCCGAUUUGCCCGAGGUCACACAGGAAGAGGCGGAAUUCCUAGCGAGUAAGCUGGACACAAAGUGAGUUCUUGGAUGGCAGGGUCUCUCCCAAAUGCCCACUCCUCACAAAUGGGUCUUUUUUGGUUUGGGGUUUUUCAGGUGUGGGCGUGCACCCGUUGCUCAGGUUCCCAGAACGCUGGGCCGUUUGUUAGAUGCUCUUUUCCUGCAGAUAAAGAAAUGGAGGCCCAGGGAGCUGAAGUUCUUUCCCAGCAUUUGCUGCCAGGAGUCUCUCCACCAUGAGGAAUGAGGCCAAGGUUAAGUCCAUCUAACUCUAGAAACUGGCCUUCUGGCACCCCGGGCUGAGUUUUCUCACCCUACCCUUGCACCUCACUCAGGCAGUCAGUCCUUGGGAGAGUGAAUGAACACGCAGGAGACCUCACCUACCACCAGGGUCCUGGUCCAGUGCCCUGGGCACCUAACAGCACCAGCCUCCUCCAGGCUUUUCUGGCCCCUGCGACUCCUCCUAGUACCCGCAACACAGUGACCAGACCACUUCCCUGCUCAAAGUUCUUCCACACAUCACCAAUGCUGACAGAUCAGUG